rnacentral:rRNA from 1 species
CAGCCGCCGCGGUAAUACGGAGGGGGCUAGCGUUGUUCGGAAUUACUGGGCGUAAAGCGCACGUAGGCGGCUUGGUAAGUUAGAGGUGAAGGCCUGGAGCUCAACUCCAGAAUUGCCUUUAAGACUGCCGAGCUAGCAGGUGAGAGAGGUAAGUGGAAUUCCGAGUGUAGAGGUGAAAUUCGUAGAUAUUCGGAAGAACACCAGUGGCGAAGGCGGCUUACUGGCUCAUACUGGACGCUGAGGUGCGAAAGCGUGGGGAGCAAACAGGAUUAGAUACCCCUGUAGUCCCUGUCUCUUAUAU